CCCUUAGAUGUUCGGGGCCGCACGCGCGCUACACUGAAGGAAUCAGCACGUCUUUCUCCUUGUCCGAAAGGACUGGGUAACCCGCUGAACCUCCUUCGUGCUAGGGAUUGGGGCUUGUAAUUCUUCCCCAUGAACGAGGAAUUCCCAGUAAGCGCGAGUCAUAAGCUCGCGUUGAUUACGUCCCUGCCCUUUGUACACACCGCCCGUCGCUACUACCGAUUGAAUGGUUUAGUGAGAUCUCUGGAUUGACGCUGGCUAGGGGGCGACCCUUGGCCAGGCUGUCGAGAAACUGCUCAAACUUGAUCAUUUAGAGGAAGUAAAAGUCGUAACA
rnacentral:rRNA from 1 species